GCCGGAGAACGCUCCGUUCCCCCGAAAGCGCUCGGCUGAAGACCGAGCGGUCCCGGGUUCAAAUCCCGGCCCCGGCACCA
rnacentral:tRNA from 1 species